CCUACGGGAGGCUGCAGUAGGGAAUCUUCCACAAUGGGCGAAAGCCUGAUGGAGCAACGCCGCGUGGGUGAAGAAGGUCUUCGGAUCGUAAAACCCUGUUGUUAGAGAAGAAAGUGCGUGAGAGUAACUGUUCACGCUUCGACGGUAUCUAACCAGAAAGCCACGGCUAACUACAUGCCAGCAGCCGAGGGAAUACGUAGGUGGCAAGCGUUGUCCGGAUUUAUUGGGCGUAAAGGGAACGCAGUAGGUCUUUUAAGUCUGAUGUGAAAGCCUUCGGCUUAACCGGAGAAGUGCAUUGGAUACUGGGAGACUUGAGUGCAGAAGAGGAGAGUGGAACUCGAGGUGUAGCGGUGAAAUGCGUAGAUAUAUGGAAGAACACCAGUGGCGAAGGCGGCUCUCUGGUCUGUAACUGACGCUGAGGUUCGAAAGUGUGGGUAGCAAACAGGAUUAGAUACCCCAGUAGUC
rnacentral:rRNA from 1 species